UUGUGCACAUACCCUAGGCUUUCUACAGACCCAAUCUAAGAGUACAGCAGCUGACAGGGGCCUCACUUGUUUCUUCUUUAAUUGUUGACUUUUCCCACUGCAAGUGUCAUCUCAGAUGAUCCUUAAACUUACACAUUCUGAAGCUAUCACAAAGUGUUAUCAGAUAUAGCAAAUAAAAUAAAAGAUGCUCAGGUGA
rnacentral:lncRNA from 1 species